UACGAAGGGGGCUAGCGUUGCUCGGAAUUACUGGGCGUAAAGCGUGUGUAGGCGGCUACGUAAGUCGGAUGUGAAAGCCCCAGGCUCAACCUGGGAAGUGCACUCGAUACUGCGUAGCUUGAGUAUCGGAGAGGUUGGUGGAAUUCUCGGUGUAGAGGUGAAAUUCGUAGAUAUCGAGAGGAACACCGGUGGCGAAGGCGGCCAACUGGACGAAUACUGACGCUGAGACACGAAAGCGUGGGGAGCAAACAGG
rnacentral:rRNA from 1 species